rnacentral:lncRNA from 1 species
AAGGUCAAAGACAGAGAAUGGAUCACUGUCACCAAGCUGGGACAUGGGAUCAGAAAUAUGAAGAUCAAGUUCCUUAAGAUUUGUCUUUUCUUCCUGCCCAUUAAAUUGUCUGAGAUGAUUGAGUUUUCCUUGAGGACAUCCCUCAAGGUGGGUGGUUUGAUGAUCACAUCUGUGUAGCAUCACGGUCUAGCUGUGCAGUAGAUCAGAGUCAAGCCACUGGGGACUAUAGUGGAAACCCAGUAUGGAUGUUACUAUUGCAAAGAAGUAGGUACUGCCAUUCAAGGGGCUAACAUUUUUUCCUCUUUUUUUUAAAGAUAUUUUCUUUAUUUACAUUUCAAAUAUUAUCCCCUUUCCUAGUUUCCCCUCUGAAAAUUCCUUAUUCCCUCCCCCAUGCCCCUGCUCCCCAACCGACCCACUCCCAUUCCCAGUCCUGGCAUUCCCCUAUACUGUGGCAGAGAACCUUCACAGGGCCUAGGGCCUCUCCUCCCACUGAUGACAGACUAGGCUGUCCUCUGCUACAUAUGCAGCUAGAGCCACAAAUUCCACC